rnacentral:rRNA from 1 species
GAGUUUGAUCGUGGCUCAGAACGAACGCUGGCGGCAGGCUUAACACAUGCAAGUCGAACGGGUGUAGCAAUACACCAGUGGCGCACGGGUGAGUAACACGUGGAUAUCUGCCUUUUGGUUCGGAAUAACCCUGGGAAACUAGGGCUAAUACCGAAUGGUUCCUACGGGAUAAAGAUUUAUCGCCAAAAGAUGAGUCCGCGUCCGAUUAGCUAGUUGGUGAGGUAAUGGCUCACCAAGGCGACGAUCGGUAGCUGGUCUGAGAGGACGAUCAGCCACACUGGGACUGAGACACGGCCCAGACUCCUACGGGAGGCAGCAGUGGGGAAUAUUGGACAAUGGGGGCAACCCUGAUCCAGCCAUGCCGCGUGAGUGAUGAAGGCCUUC